AAAGGGCCUUGACUCUGACUGAGCCCAUUUUUGUUUGGGGCAAAACAAAGAGAUUGGCGCCACCUACCCUGAACUGUGAUUCUAGGAUUAGGUGAUGAUUCUGACAACUUCUGUUUUUGCGUAUCAGCUUUCUCUGCGGAGUUUUUUUUGGCUUUUAUUAGUUCAUUGAGAUUUCGGAAGACUGGCAUCAAGAAGUGUUUCUGACGAUUACAAAGUAAGACAAGCUACAGCAACUCUGAAACCAAGCAGCGAGCAAAAAGGCAAUUGAGUGCUGUGUUGUCCAAGUUCUACUUUCCCUAGAGUUUUGUACAGUGGAAGAGUUUCGGCUACAUGAAUCACAUCUAGCGAGGAGGCCUUGAAGACUCUAACAGGAGCUAAUCAAGUGGAAACACAAUGGGGAAAUCCAGGUCAACUAUAAUUCCCAUCAUGACUAAGCAGCAUAAAGACUCGGACUACAGUGACCUAGAACUGACCUCAGGGAGAAAUCAGUCAAAACAGGAUUAUUCAUUUCCAGGAUUCUUGGUCACUCAAGAUCUCUUACAAGACUGCAGUCAAGGGCCAGCGCUUCAGUCUCAUCUGAAGACUUGACUAAGUAGAAUUUGCUUCUAAGUUCGCUCACAUAAUUGUUGGCAAGAUUUACUUCCUUGUGGACUGUCGGAGGGAGGGUCUGGUUCCCUGCUGGCCAAUGGCAAUAGUCCUUCCUCAA